CAAAUAUAGAUAAUAGCUCUGAAGAAUUUGGAAAGAAAAUAAUGAAAAUUAGAACAAGAAACAGUUCUCCUGUCUAUAAAGAUUAUAGUGAAAGUGAUGACAGCGAACAAUCAGAUUGCAGCAAGAAUUCACAACAAAUAAAAUUGAAAUCACUUCCUAACUUUCCACUGCUUUUAAAAGAAAACCAACCUACAGCAAGCCUAAUGACAAUGAAAGAUAAAGAAUCCCU
rnacentral:lncRNA from 1 species